GGCCUAACACAUGCAAGUCGAGCGGUAGAGAGAAGCUUGCUUCUCUUGAGAGCGGCGGACGGGUGAGUAAUGCCUAGGAAUCUGCCUGGUAGUGGGGGAUAACGUUCGGAAACGGACGCUAAUACCGCAUACGUCCUACGGGAGAAAGCAGGGGACCUUCGGGCCUUGCGCUAUCAGAUGAGCCUAGGUCGGAUUAGCUAGUUGGUGAGGUAAUGGCUCACCAAGGCGACGAUCCGUAACUGGUCUGAGAGGAUGAUCAGUCACACUGGAACUGAGACACGGUCCAGACUCCUACGGGAGGCAGCAGUGGGGAAUAUUGCACAAUGGGCGCAAGCCUGAUGCAGCCAUGCCGCGUGUGUGAAGAAGGCCUUCGGGUUGUAAAGCACUUUCAGCGAGGAGGAAGGGUUCGGUGUUAAUAGCACUGUUCAUUGACGUUACUCGCAGAAGAAG
rnacentral:rRNA from 1 species